GGGGGCUUGUGACAUUCCUAGCUGCUAGGAGGUAGCAGGUAGCAGGUUACUCUUUUGGCGGGAGAAGAGGCAUGAUGGGAAAAAGCCUGUCCUUUGUUGGGAGAAGCCAUAUUUUAACAUGGAGGCUGCUAUUCUGUGUGGCAGCCAUCUUACGGCAAGGGAAAUCUAACAAUGUCUACAGGCCUGGGGAUAAUGCUGACCUCCCACAGGGAGGCAGGCUUCUUUUUCCUGCCAGCCUAGAUCCUGGGCACCUCAAGGCAACCCUGGAGAGGCAGAGUAUUAGAGAAGAGCCUGCGAUUUCCCUGUGGAGGGCAGUUCACCGACAGCUGAGGACGCACCUCUGGGGCCCAACCCGACUCUUCAGACCAGGCCAGUUGCUUGGUAGACAGGGGCAAUGACGGAGCCUGCGGGGCACAGCGAUGGGAUGGGGGUGGGGCUCUGCCCCACAGGACCCCAGCGCUCCCCGCUGGAGUGGCGGACGCUUUGUCAGCUCUGCGUGGUAACCCGAGGCCCCCACUUCAAAUCUGCUUCAUCCUACUGUCAUCUCUCACAGGCAUAACCGUCUUCCCAUCUCCUGGAAACUACCUCCCCCUCCUACUUCAUCUUGGCUUUGGCUUCCCGAGGACCCGAACUGAGCUACAACCCCCUUUCACUACCUACACCUGCUACACUCAAUCGAGCGCGCUCACAGAGGCUUGAUUCACUCUGAGCCAAAUUUGAGUCCUUUAUUGCUGGUGGUCGAGAGCAGCUCUCACUCAAAAAACUCUCUAUGAUGAAAAGUGGCUGGCGGGUUUCUUUAAAGCAGCUCUUCUGGCCGGGGAGGGGGAGCACAAGUGGAAUUUCACAGGAGCGGAACUUUGCUAAGUUAGUGGGGGUCAGGGGAAGUUUCACACAGUUUAGUGGAAAAAAAAAUCACGCAGAUAGUAUUCUGUCUGCGAGGUUGUAAAGGUAACACAUAGUUGCAGACUGCUCUACCCACCGGAUACAGCAGUCUGUCGCGCAUUAACUGAGGCGACUGCCAAGCGGGGGGUGGGGAGGCGACCACCUGGAAUUGCUGUACGCAGAUGGAGUCAGGUUGGUUAUCUCACAGCUACUCUCCGCCGUCCCCUCGGGCAGUGCCCAAAACCCCGGUGUGGGGCAGGAAUCGCUGUAUGUCUGGCAUGCUCUCCAGCCCCAGCGAUAACUCAGGAUCCGUAGUCACCAGGGGUGGUGCUGCCCUUCCCAUCAGUAGUACGGGAUGAGCGCAUGAGCCAGCUAUUGACCAGGAAGAGAUCUGGGGCUUCCCUCUAUCGGUAAGAUAGAGUCUACCCAAGUGAAAGACUUGCAUCUCGCCCCUUUCUUCCUGCCCUGCUCAGCUCCCUGUGUCUACCGCAGCAGCUGUUCGAGCAAUCUGAGGACAGAAGCCACCUGCAGAAGAUGACAGAGCAGAAAGAGCCUGUCUUUCACCGUGGAGCCAUCACAAUAACUUUGUGGCUGCCGACCUCCAGCUGUUUUGCUAUAAAAGAUGACUGCAUUGUUUCUUUGCUUAAACCACUGUAAGUCACCCAGGCUGCCACUUGCAGUUGCAAAUGUUAUAAUCAAUGGAGCCACAUUCCCAAUACCUUGUUCGCCAGAUUGCCUUCUAGAAGCACUAGGGGAAGGGAAGCUCUAGGGGAACCCUUCCAUCUCCAGUUUGCCGUCACCCAGGAUACCUCUUCCUUGCCCCAUCGCUCUUAGGUCAGAGUUCAAACUCUUCAUGAAUAAGGACUUGCAAAGAGUAGGCCCCUGCUGCUCAGAUCCUUCCGGACCCGUCCUACUUCCUACCUAGACCCAGGCCAAACUGAACGUUUAGUUUUCAAAUAUCCUACAUCACGAUCACAUCUAGGCCUGUGCUUGUAACCCCCCCGGCUCCUUACUCAUCCUUCAGGGCUCAGUCCCAUGUUGUCCCUUCUGAGGCCUCCCUAGAUUUCUAGCCCGAGUUCUGUGACCGCUUAAGACUUCCCUUGCACCCCAGGCCUCCUUCGGUGAAAACACUUAUUAUGCUGGGUCGUGGUCCCCUGUUUCCAUGACUGGUCGAUUUGAAUUGUCUGUUCUCCACUGUGCUGUUUCCAGCUCUUUUCGCUGACUGCUGCCCUGCUGCCCGAAAGCUGGCUCAGGCCCAAGCCCAGAUGCAAUGCUUUGCUGCAGACUCACAGAGCAACUGCUUCCCAGAGCAUGAACUCCCCUUGGCAGCUUUACUUCUGUGGCAUCCUCUUAAAUCCUCUUCUCGGCCUUCACUUCCCUCCUCCUCCCGUAGCUGUGGGAAGUCUGGCUGCUGUAACAAAUCCCUGAUGUUAAACACUCACAGUGACUCCGGAUGGCACGCGUGUCAGGGGCAGACACCUUCUCCUGCCUUUGGGGAUGACACACCACCUAGGACCCCAUCCAAAUCAUUCUUACACCAACCCGCAGUGAUUGGCUCAGUCAUAAGCAUAUGACCUGGUCCUAGCCAAUGAGAACCGACUUUAGGAUUUUUGCUGGAAUAACUGGAAACCAGGAGCUAUCUUUCCACUACUAUUGUUGAGCUGGUUGCUUGGAAUCCUGCAGCUACUGGCAAUUAUCUUGUAUAAUAUAGGGCGAAAGAAAGAAAGAAAAAAGGAAGGAAAGAAAGAAAUCAAGCAAGCCAGCCAGGGAUUUAGCUCAGUGUUUCCCUGGCCUGCCUCACAGGAGUAAGGUCCUGAGUUUGAUCAUUGGUACUAAAAAAAGAAAGAAAAAAGAAAGAGUGAAAGGUCAAGCCUGCUGGAGCUGAGGAUGUAGUUCAGUGGUGUUGUGCCUGCCCUGGCAAGUGUAAGAUCCUGAGUUCAAACCCCGAUAUGGGGGCUGCGGGGGGGAAGCCUGCUGGAGAAUGAAGCCGACAGAGAGGAAAACAAGACAGAGGAUCAGACAAGCACAGCCUCCAGGUGACAGUGACUGACUUUGGUUCUGCUCGAAGCUAAACCUCCCUCUGGAUAUUUUAUUUUAUUUCAUUUUCUUGAAGUGGUGGGGAUGGAACCCAAGGCCUUAUGUAUGUUAAGCAAGUGAGCUGAGCUAUACCCCAGCCCUAGACUUUUGCUUUUUGCAGCUCAAGUCAGUAUUAGUUGCAGCCAUAAAGAAUGAGAAACUAGGGCUGGGGAUUUAGCUCAGUGGUUCUGGCGACUGCCUCGUAAGCGCAAGGAUCUGAGUUCGAUCCCAGGUACCAAAAAAAAAAAGAAGGAGAAACUAGAGACAUUUAUAGCUAAAUGGAUGCACCCUGAGAUCGUACUCAAGUGAAGUAAAUAUGACACACGCGUGUAAAUACUGAAUAGUUUCUCUGGUGUGAGAAACUGAAAGUGUAAAUAAGGAUUAAAAUUAAUAAUUGAUAAUAUGAAAUAGGAAGAAAAGGCCCAAAGGGGAAGGGGAGGAGUAGGGGGAAGGAAAGAAGGGAGAGGAAAAAAUAUGAGAAAAGGAGAAAAUGGAAACAGUCUUUGUAAAUAGGUAAGGAUGGGGGGGUGGAGGGAGGCUAGGGGAAUGGGGAAAAAAAUUAGAACCAAGAUGCAUCAUGUAUAGGUAAGAGGAUCCCAGUGAUGAAUGUAACUGUACCGUAUACCUAAAAUGUACCAAUAAAAGAGUUUAAGGGAAAAAAUGUCAGUAUUAGCUGGAUUUCUGUACUAUCCAACCAAAAGCGUCCUGGCAAAUAUAGGUAAAUGAUAAAUAUCUGUUAAAUAAAUGAACCCCA
ensembl:lincRNA